AUACAUGCAAGUAGAACGCUGAAGGAGGAGCUUGCUUCUCUGGAUGAGUUGCGAACGGGUGAGUAACGCGUAGGUAACCUGCCUGGUAGCGGGGGAUAACUAUUGGAAACGAUAGCUAAUACCGCAUAAUAGUAGAUGUUGCAUGACAUUUGCUUAAAAGGUGCAAUUGCAUCACUACCAGAUGGACCUGCGUUGUAUUAGCUAGUUGGUGGGGUAACGGCUCACCAAGGCGACGAUACAUAGCCGACCUGAGAGGGUGAUCGGCCACACUGGGACUGAGACACGGCCCAGACUCCGACGGGGGGCAGCAGUAGGGAAUCUUCGGCAAUGGACGGAAGUCUGACCGAGCAACGCCGCGUGAGUGAAGAAGGCUUUCGGAUCGUAAAGCUCUGUUGUAAGAGAAGAACGAGUGUGAGAGUGGAAAGUUCACACUGUGACGGUAUCUUACCAGAAAGGGACGGCUAACUACGUGCCAGCAGCCGCGGUAAUACGUAGGUCCCGAGCGUUGUCCGGAUUUAUUGGGCGUAAAGCGAGCGCAGGCGGUUAGAUAAGUCUGAAGUUAAAGGCUGUGGCUUAACCAUAGUACGCUUUGGAAACUGUUUAACUUGAGUGCAAGAGGGGAGAGUGGAAUUCCAUGUGUAGCGGUGAAAUGCGUAGAUAUAUGGAGGAACACCGGUGGCGAAAGCGGCUCUCUGGCUUGUAACUGACGCUGAGGCUCGAAAGCGUGGGGAGCAAACAGGAUUAGAUACCCUGGUAGUCCACGCCGUAAACGAUGAGUGCUAGGUGUUAGACCCUUUCCGGGGUUUAGUGCCGCAGCUAACGCAUUAAGCACUCCGCCUGGGGAGUACGACCGCAAGGUUGAAACUCAAAGGAAUUGACGGGGGCCCGCACAA
rnacentral:rRNA from 1 species